AGCGGCAGCGACCUGUGUGGGUCCUUCACUUUGUGGGAUCUUUGUUCUUUCGCUCUUCACAAUAAAUCUCCCUGCUGCUCACUCUUUGUGUCAGUGCCAUCUUUAAGAGCUGCAACACUCACCAGGAAGAUCUGCUUAGCUCUCUGUGCCUCAUGUUGUCCAUCUGUAAAAUGAGGAUGAAAUGGCAGGUGGAGUGGAACUGUGAAGUGCCUUUCCGGGGGCUGGAGGUGCCCUGGUGAAGUCUCCCGGUCCUGGGCUGUUCCAGUCAGAGGCAGACAGGGCCUGGCUGGGAAGUUGGAUGGACUAGCGAAGCUCCGGACUGUUCGGGAAGCUCCAUCCGAAUGUGUCUGCCCCCCAGGGUGUGCUGGUUUACAUAUGCUGUUCAGUUGGUGAUGGAAACACAGCCACUGAUAAAGCAAUAAAUGAAAGGAAAUGACAGGAAAGCACCAUCCUCGAGCUUCCAUGGACACAGACAUGAAGAUUUCCAUCUGUGGCUAAACAGGAGCAGAGCUUUGGAGGUGCUCCUGGUCCAUCGGUUCCCAGUGACAUGUCUUCAGUUCCAG
rnacentral:sRNA from 1 species